rnacentral:rRNA from 1 species
UACGUAGGAGGCAAGCGUUAUCCGGAAUCAUUGGGCGUAAAGCGUCCGCAGGUGGGAAAGCAAGUCUCAUAUUAAAUCCCGAUGCUCAAUAUCGGAUCUGUAUGGGAAACUACUUUUCUAGAGGAUGGGAGAGGCUAGUGGAAUUCUCGGUGUAGGGGUAAAAUCCGUAGAUAUCGAGAGGAACACCAAAAGCGAAGGCAGCUAGCUGGAACAUUCCUGACACUCAUGGACGAAAGCGUGGGGAGCGAAAAGG